ensembl:lncRNA
CUGUUUCCUCUUAGGUAUUAGCAGCAGAGUGCCCCUGUGUUUCUCCAUCCAUCAUGGCCUGGCAUGGCAUGCACAUGGCCGUGUGGCUGGUGGGGAGUGGGGGGCGGGGAGGGGGGAAAGGAAAAUCAGCCAUCACAGAGUCUUUUGCGAAUGCACUGCUGCUCUUUGUGUUUUAUUUGAAGAAAUGAUUAGAGUUUAUUUUAUUGCCAGGAAAGGCUGCCAGCCUUUAUGAUGACAAAAUUGCUGAGUUUACUAGGAAGUUUAUUUAUAUAGGCCUUGAAAGACAGACUCUCCCAUGACAGACACCAGCGAAGACCUGGGUUUGCUGGGUCUCCUGUUUCCCCUAACUGUUCUGCUGACAUGUUAACCCUUUGCUCUGACAGAUUCCUGAGAAAUGAGCAAUUAAGAGCAAAAAUCUGUACAAGAUGCCCCUUCCUUGUGGGGAAACUGGGUAUUCAAGGAACUCUGGGCUGGAAACCUGAAGGAACAAACGGGUUGGCAGACGUUUUUUGCUGGUACUGUGGGCCACCCCCAGCUAUGGCUAACAUAACCACAGGGAUAGCAGACAUCUUCCCAGGAGGAGAUGGUUUUAGAGUGAUCUACCACGUCCUGCCAUGCAUGUCAACUCUGGGACAAGUGAUGCCAUUAGAAGUCCUCUCAUCUCCCACUGAUGCCCCUGUUGCAGCAAUGGAAUCACCAGAAGAUCUCCCACCACCAAAAAAAACCCACAUUUUGGGGAGGGCAGAAUUGUGAUGAAUUUAAGACUCGGCAAGACAAUGAGUUUUAGGGUAAGAAAUACGUGUUUAAAUUUUCUUAGGUGUCAAAAUGCUCUGCUUUGACACAUUAAAAACGAAAAGGUUUCGUUUGGAAAAUUUCCAAGUGUGUCAUUUCAUCGUUAAUAUUCAUUCACUAAUAUUAUUUUCUUCUAUAAAGUGGACUGACCUGGGAAGGUAUCCAAAACAGACCAGAAUGAAUUAAAUAAGAAGAUUCGUAUUUCACCUUCAUUCCUGGUGCUUGUUUUGUUUUAGAGAAAAAGAAAUGCCCCCAGUUCUGCUCCAGCUCUGAUCUAACUUUCUUCCACAUGUUCAUCAAACAAGAGAGAUCAACCCUCUUCCCUCAUCACAGUCUUCAACCAGCACCUCAGUUCUACUGCUUGGCCUGGAAAAACCUUUUAUCAGGCAGUGACGAUGGCAGGCAGUUAUCCUCUAUGGACGAAUGACAGAAGAGGAUCCUAAACAUAAUUUACAAAGACCUGCCCUGCUGGUGGAUGGAAGAAAAGGGAGACCCAGGAGAAGGCUCUCUGUAAUUGCUUGAGAGGAAAU